rnacentral:rRNA from 1 species
UACGGGGGGUGCAAGCGUUGUUCGGAAUUACUGGGCGUAAAGGGCUCGUAGGCGGCCAACUAAGUCAGACGUGAAAUCCCUCGGCUUAACCGGGGAACUGCGUCUGAUACUGGAUGGCUUGAAUCCGGGAGAGGGAUGCGGAAUUCCAGGUGUAGCGGUGAAAUGCGUAGAUAUCUGGAGGAACACCGGUGGCGAAGGCGGCAUCCUGGACCGGCAUUGACGCUGAGGAGCGAAAGCCAGGGGAGCAAACGGG